GUCUCUCUUGAGUGGAUCCUGAGUACGACGGAGCACGUGAAAUUCCGUCGGAAUCUGGGAGGACCAUCUCCUAAGGCUAAAUACUCUCUAGUGACCGAUAGUGAACCAGUACCGUGAGGGAAAGGUGAAAAGCACCCCGGAAGGGGAGUGAAAUAGAACCUGAAACCGUGUGCUUACAAGUAGUCAGAGCCCGUUAAUGGGUGAUGGCGUGCCUUUUGUAGAAUGAACCGGCGAGUUACGAUUUGAUGCAAGGUUAAGCAGUAAAUGUGGAGCCGUAGCGAAAGCGAGUCUGAAUAGGGCGUUUAGUAUUUGGUCGUAGACCCGAAACCAGGUGAUCUACCCUUGGUCAGGUUGAAGUUCAGGUAACACUGAAUGGAGGACCGAACCGACUUACGUUGAAAAGUGAGCGGAUGAACUGAGGGUAGCGGAGAAAUUCCAAUCGAACCUGGAGAUAGCUGGUUCUCUCCGAAAUAGCUUUAGGGCUAGCCUCAAGUGAUGAUUAUUGGAGGUAGAGCACUGUUUGGACGAGGGGCCCCUCUCGGGUUACCGAAUUCAGACAAACUCCGAAUGCCAAUUAAUUUAACUUGGGAGUCAGAACAUGGGUGAUAAGGUCCGUGUUCGAAAGGGAAACAGCCCAGACCACCAGCUAAGGUCCCAAAAUAUAUGUUAAGUGGAAAAGGAUGUGGCGUUGCCCAGACAACUAGGAUGUUGGCUUAGAAGCAGCCAUCAUUUAAAGAGUGCGUAAUAGCUCACUAGUCGAGUGACACUGCGCCGAAAAUGUACCGGGGCUAAACAUAUUACCGAAGCUGUGGAUUGUCCUUUGGACAAUGGUAGGAGAGCGUUCUAAGGGCGUUGAAGCAUGAUCGUAAGGACAUGUGGAGCGCUUAGAAGUGAGAAUGCCGGUGUGAGUAGCGAAAGACGGGUGAGAAUCCCGUCCACCGAUUGACUAAGGUUUCCAGAGGAAGGCUCGUCCGCUCUGGGUUAGUCGGGUCCUAAGCUGAGGCCGACAGGCGUAGGCGAUGGAUAACAGGUUGAUAUUCCUGUACCACCUAUAAUCGUUUUAAUCGAUGGGGGGACGCAGUAGGAUAGGCGAAGCGUGCGAUUGGAUUGCACGUCUAAGCAGUAAGGCUGAGUAUUAGGCAAAUCCGGUACUCGUUAAGGCUGAGCUGUGAUGGGGAGAAGACAUUGUGUCUUCGAGUCGUUGAUUUCACACUGCCGAGAAAAGCCUCUAGAUAGAAAAUAGGUGCCCGUACCGCAAACCGACACAGGUAGUCAAGAUGAGAAUUCUAAGGUGAGCGAGCGAACUCUCGUUAAGGAACUCGGCAAAAUGACCCCGUAACUUCGGGAGAAGGGGUGCUCUUUAGGGUUAACGCCCAGAAGAGCCGCAGUGAAUAGGCCCAAGCGACUGUUUAUCAAAAACACAGGUCUCUGCUAAACCGUAAGGUGAUGUAUAGGGGCUGACGCCUGCCCGGUGCUGGAAGGUUAAGAGGAGUGGUUAGCUUCUGCGAAGCUACGAAUCGAAGCCCCAGUAAACGGCGGCCGUAACUAUAACGGUCCUAAGGUAGCGAAAUUCCUUGUCGGGUAAGUUCCGACCCGCACGAAAGGCGUAACGAUUUGGGCACUGUCUCAACGAGAGACUCGGUGAAAUCAUAGUACCUGUGAAGAUGCAGGUUACCCGCGACAGGACGGAAAGACCCCGUGGAGCUUUACUGUAGCCUGAUAUUGAAAUUCGGCACAGCUUGUACAGGAUAGGUAGGAGCCUUUGAAACGUGAGCGCUAGCUUACGUGGAGGCGCUGGUGGGAUACUACCCUAGCUGUGUUGGCUUUCUAACCCGCACCACUUAUCGUGGUGG
rnacentral:rRNA from 1 species